UUACAUUUUUUGUUGACAGUUCAAUUGAAAAUAUGGAUUUCACAGUUUUACAGCGCAAUCCUAAGAGGCAGACAGAUGUUAGUUACGAGUACCUAACACGGAUGUCAAUUAUUCACAUACUGAUAGGCAAGUUAUAGUAAGUACAUUGAAUACAUUACUUUGAAGAUCAAGGACGGUUUUUAUCAAGACAUAGUAAGACAACUAAUCGAGGCGUGGUCGGAGAUAUUGUAUAUAAAUCAGAGCAUUUGCUCAACAGAUAUCACUUGUGAAAACUCUUCCAAGCAACUCCAUAACAAUGUUCUUCAAACUGUUCGCUUUAUUUGCCCUCGUGGCGGUGGCUUUCGCCAACCCUAAGCCCGAGCCUCAAGUUUUAUCCUACGGUGCUGGACUCUUACCUUCCUACCCUUACUAUUCAUCUGGUAUCUACGCCGCUGCUGCUCCUUACAACGCACUACCCUACGCUUACAACGGAUACUUUCUUCGCUAAGACUAAACUAUGAGGCCACCAGAUCGCCAGGCAUUUUAAGAUUUCCUAAAAUAAUUGUAAUUCCUUUGUUUUAAGAAAUUUUAUAUGCUCACGCUAUGGUGACCUUAGCCGACUUCUCGCUAGAUCAAUGAAUUUGAAAUGCCUAACGUUUAAAUAAAUUUUUAUGCAUA